rnacentral:tRNA from 1 species
GGGGUCGUAGCGAAGCCAGGGAUCGCAACGGGCUCCAGACCCGUGGAUCAAGGGUUCAAUUACUGACACGUGAUAGUGCAGGUAGAACAUAUCCCUUCGGCCCCA